UCGUAACAAGGUAGCUGUAGGUGAACCUGCUGCUGGAUCAUUACCCAAGUGAUACCAAUUCACCACCUACCUGCUGUCCAGUUGAGUCAGUGUGGGCAACACCACAUGCCUCCGUUUGUUGUUGACGGACAUAUGCCCACUGUGUAUGGGCUGGCACAUUGACCAACAAUGUACGGACAGCGCCCUGUGGGCACAUGAGUGUUGGGGUAUAACCGAUGUUGGUGGCCCUAUGGGUGAGCCGACGAUUGCUGCUGUCGUCGGGUCGCUGCGCCAACGGAGGAAGCACGCCCACAGGGCACCCUAACGGCUGUGCUGGCGUCUGUGCGUCGUUGAGCGGUUGUUGCGCCUUGCGCAGAUAUGCUAACAUGGAGUGUAGCUGCUACUCCAUGUUGUACGUGCCGUACCUUGCGGCAUGUCUGCGCUUGUGUGCUACGUCCGUGGCCGUGAUGAGACGACGUGUUAGGACCCGUGCCUGGCAUUGGCACGUGGUUUAAGACUUGAUGAGUGCCCGCAGGCACCGCCAGCUUUUUCCCAUUUUUAUUUAUUUUUUAUGCAAUUCGAUUGCUAAAAUAUUCUAGUCUUAUCGGUGGAUCACUCGGCUCGUGGAUCGAUGAAGAACGCAGCCAACUGCGAUAAUUAGUGUGAACUGCAGAAACCUUGAACACAGAACUUUCGAAUGCACAUUGCGCCAUUGGAGUGACAUCCAUUGGCAUGCCUGGUUCAGGGUCGUAACCAAAAAAUGCACUGCAUGUGCGUGUUUUAUUUGCUAAGAUCACGCUUCGGCGUGUUCUUGCAUACCAUUGAAUGCUACGCGGUGUAGCGGUGGACGUGCUGGCGCGAAAAUGUGUUGUCAUUCGCGCUUUACAGACCGUAAUUUAGGCACGCCCUUCGUUCACAUGCGAUAGCUGAAUGCCUCGCCAAUAGGCAUUUGCAAUUGAACAUUUCGACCUGAACUCAGACGUGAACACCCGCUGAACUUAAGCAUAUCAUUUAGCGGAGGAAA
rnacentral:rRNA from 1 species